AAAAUCAUUUUAAAACUUUUUACAAUAGUUUUACAAGAUUUACAAUCGUUUUUUGAGCAUAAGUAAGUGGCAUUGAAUGAUUUACAAGGGAUUUUAAAAGCUUAUAAAAGGGUAAAACAUGAUUUACAAUCGUUUUAAAGCAUAAGUAAGUGGCAUAGAAUGAUUUACAAGGGAUUUAAAAAGGGUUAGCAUGGUUUACAAUCGUUUUUUAGCAUAAGUAAGUGGUAUUGAAUGAUUUACAAGGGAUUUUAAAAGCUUAUAAAAGGGUAAAACAUGAUUUAUAAUCGUUUUUAAAGCAUAAGUAAGUAGCAUAGAAUGAUUUACAAGAAUUUUUAAAAAGGGUUAGCAUGGUUUACAAUGUUUUUUUAAGUAUAAGUAAGUGGUAUUGGAAUGAUUUACAAGGGAUUUUAAAAGCUUAUAAAAGGGUAAAACAUGAUUUACAAUCGUUUUUAAAGCAUAAGUAAGUGGCAUAGAAUGAUUUACAAGGUAUUUUAAAAGUGUUUGUAUGGUUUACAAUCGUUUUAAAGCAUAAGUAAGUGGUAUUGAAUGAUUUACAAGGGAUUUUAAAAGGGGUUAACAUGAUUUACAAUCGUUUUUAACGCAUAUGUAAGUGUCAAAGAAUGAUUUACAAGAGAUUUUAAAAAAGGUUUGCAUGGUUUACAAUCGUUUUUAAAAGAUAAGUAAGUUGUAAAGAAUGAUUUACAAGGAUUUUAAAAGCUUAUAAAAGGGUAAAACAUGAUUUACAAGAGUUUUUAAAGAGUUUUAAAAGGAUUUACAAGGAUUUUAAACCUUUGUAAAUCCUUUUAAAACUCUUAUAAAGUCUUUACAAGCAUUUUUUAACUCUUAGAAAAAGAAUUGUAAGUAUUUAAAACAUUUACAACUCUUUUUGAACCAUUUUGUAAAGAAUUACAAGAGUUUUUAAAGGGUUUUCUUAUAUUUUUUUU
rnacentral:sRNA from 1 species